GGUGUUCACCUCCGAUGAUACUGAACCCGAUGACGUGUCUCUCGUCGUCGUGAAUAUCGAGUCUCUCCGUACUUGUAUCCGCUGGUAAGCCUGAUAUUACAUUAACCUCUCUUGUACAACCUAACUUCAUUGUGAAUCCUUCACUCACCGUACAGCUCUUGAUGAAGUGCUUGUAACUUUGAGGCUGGUCGAACCUUCGUACGAUGGACCAGACCGCCUCUGAUGGUGCCUGAACACGCUGAGCAAGUAAGGAGGAGCACCGGCCGCGGGUGAGUUUGUAGAUGUGAAACUCUGCUACUAAGUCCUUCAACUCGUCGAACUCUUCCUGAGUGAGGCCGGAGGGCAGUGCGGAGAGAUGGUGAGUUGUGAGAUAAGUUUCUUCGGAGUUUGAGUUUGGUUGGAGCUGCUGCUCCGUGGACGCGG
rnacentral:lncRNA from 1 species